rnacentral:rRNA from 1 species
GACGAACGCUGGCGGCGUGCCUAAUACAUGCGAGUUGAGCGAUGAAGAUUGGUGCUUGCACCAAUUUGAAGAGCAGCGAACGGGUGAGUAACGCGUGGGGAAUCUGCCUUUGAGCGGGGGACAACAUUUGGAAACGAAUGCUAAUACCGCAUAACAACUUUAAACAUAAGUUUUAAGUUUGAAAGAUGCAAUUGCAUCACUCAAAGAUGAUCCCGCGUUGUAUUAGCUAGUUGGUGAGGUAAAGGCUCACCAAGGCGAUGAUACAUAGCCGACCUGAGAGGGUGCUCGGCCACAUUGGGACUGAGACACGGCCCAAACUCCUACGGGAGGCAGCAGUAGGGAAUCUUCGGCAAUGGACGAAAGUCUGACCGAGCAACGCCGCGUGAGUGAAGAAGGUUUUCGGAUCGUAAAACUCUGUUGGUAGAGAAGAACGUUGGUGAGAGUGGAAAGCUCAUCAAGUGACGGUAACUACCCAGAAAGGGACGGCUAACUACGUG